AUUUAAGCAUAUAAAUAAGCGGAGGAAAAGAAACCAAAUGGGAUUCCCUUAGUAACGGCGAGCGAAAAGGGAAUAGUCCAGCGCCAAGUCUUGAUGCUUUACGUAUUCAAGAGAUGCGGCGUUUAUGUAUUGACGCUUCAUACAAUAUCAUAUGACUCAAGUUCCCUUAAGCAGGACAUCCAAAGAGGGUGGUAGGCCCUUAGAGUCGCUUGAUCGUUGUAUGCCGGUCAAUACAUUUAAGAGUCAAGUUGCUUGAGAGUGCAGCUUAAAGUCGGUGGUAAACUCCAUCUAAGGCUAAAUAUGACAGCGAGACCGAUAGCAAACAAGUACCAUGAGGGAAAGUUGAAAAGGACUUUGAAGAGAGAGUUAAAAGAACGUGAAACCAUUGGGAGGGAAACAGAUGGAACCACGAAGUGAGCUCUUCAGUCGAUUCAAUCAUUAUGUGCAAUUAUCUAGUUAUGAUGGAAUUUUUUUGAAAAUUAAUCAUAACAAGGUUUAAAUUGUUCAUAAUUGGUGCAUUUCGUGCUGAAGAUGCAAAGCCACGUUCGACUAGACAGUUGGGACGACUGUAAGAAAGGAUUCAAGGAAGGUAGCUGCUGUUGAUUUCAACGGGCAGUGUUUUAUAGACUUGAAUCGGAAUCGUCACCAAAC
rnacentral:rRNA from 1 species